rnacentral:sRNA from 1 species
UCCUAGCCGCGACGUACCCGGGUCCCCU